GGGUGGUAAUGCCGGAUGUUCCAGUUGAUCGCAUGGUCUUCUGGGAAAGCUUUCGCGGUAUGGGAUGGGGUCGCGUCCUAUCAGCUUGACGGCGGGGUAACGGCCCACCGUGGCUUCGACGGGUAGCCGGCCUGAGAGGGCGACCGGCCACAUUGGGACUGAGAUACGGCCCAGACUCCUACGGGAGGCAGCAGUGGGGAAUAUUGCACAAUGGGCGCAAGCCUGAUGCAGCGACGCCGCGUGAGGGAUGGAGGCCUUCGGGUUGUAAACCUCUUUUAUCGGGGAGCAAGCGUGAGUGAGUUUACCCGUUGAAUAAGCACCGGCUAACUACGUGCCAGCAGCCGCGGUAAUACGUAGGGUGCAAGCGUUAUCCGGAAUUAUUGGGCGUAAAGGGCUCGUAGGCGGUUCGUCGCGUCCGGUGUGAAAGUCCAUCGCUUAACGGUGGAUCCGCGCCGGGUACGGGCGGGCUUGAGUGCGGUAGGGGAGACUGGAAUUCCCGGUGUAACGGUGGAAUGUGUAG
rnacentral:rRNA from 1 species